UACGUAGGGUGCAAGCGUUAAUCGGAAUUACUGGGCGUAAAGCGUGCGCAGGCGGUUGUGCAAGACCGAUGUGAAAUCCCCGGGCUUAACCUGGGAAUGGCAUUGGUGACUGCACGGCUAGAGUGUGUCAGAGGGGGGUAGAAUUCCACGUGUAGCAGUGAAAUGCGUAGAGAUGUGGAGGAAUAUCAAUGGCGAAGGCAGCCCCCUGGGAUAAUAUUGACGCUCAUGCACGAAAGCGUGGGGAGCAAAC
rnacentral:rRNA from 1 species